rnacentral:rRNA from 1 species
GAUGAACGCUAGCUACAGGCUUAACACAUGCAAGUCGAGGGGCAGCAUUAAAGUUCGCUUGCAAACUUUAGAUGGCGACCGGCGCACGGGUGAGUAACACGUAUCCAACCUGCCGAUAACUCGGGGAUAGCCUUUCGAAAGAAAGAUUAAUACCCGAUGGUAUAUUUUCCCCGCAUGGUGAAACUAUUAAAGAAUUGCGGUUAUCGAUGGGGAUGCGUUCCAUUAGGCAGUUGGUGAGGUAACGGCUCACCAAACCUUCGAUGGAUAGGGGUUCGGAGAGGAAGGUCCCCCACAUUGGAACUGAGACACGGUCCAAACUCCUACGGGAGGCAGCAGUGAGGAAUAUUGGUCAAUGGGCGCGAGCCUGAACCAGCCAAGUAGCGUGAAGGAUGACGGCCCUAUGGGUUGUAAACUUCUUUUAUAUGGGAAUAAAGUUUGGUAUGUAUACUAUUUUGUAUGUACCAUAUGAAUAAGGAUCGGCUAACUCCGUGCCAGCCGCCGCGGUAACAC